rnacentral:lncRNA from 1 species
GGCAUAGGGGUCGGGUGGGGCUCGUUCGGGGUGCACAACGGUUGCGCCAAAAACGGUCCAAAAAUGGCCAAGGCUUUACCAUACGAAAAAUCGGCCGAUUUUUAACCAUGCGAGAAACGUCCCGAAAAUUCACAGAUAACUACUAGGCGGCCUCACUUUGAGUAAUAUUAAAGUUUUUUCCCACAAAAACAGCUCGGAGAUGCCCAGACUCAGUUUUUAUUUUCGUCCCAAUACUUUUCUUCCCAUGGUUUAGUUGUGUUCCUUUGAUCUUGUGCAACCUAUUUAGACCGAUGAUAGCCCGCGGAUAGGUGUGGAAACCCAUCUAUAUUGCACCCAGUAUGACACAGAAAAAAAUCCCAGGGCAUAGGGGUCGGGUGGGGCUCGUUCGGGGUGCACAACGGUUGCGCCAAAAACGGUCCAAAAAUGGCCAAGGCUUUACCAUACGAAAAAUCGGCCAGGUUUUAACCAUGCGAGAAACGUCCCGAAAACUCACAGAUAACUACUAGGCGGCCUCACUUUGAGUAAUAUUAAAGUUUUUUCCCACAAAAAAGCUCGGAGAUGCCCAGACUCAGUUUUUAUUUUUUCGUCCCAAUACUUUUCUUCCCAUGGUUUGGUUGUGUUCCUUUGAUAUUUUGCGACCUAUUUAGACCUAUGAUUGCCCGCGGAUAGGUGUGGAAACCCAUCUAUAUUGCACCCAGUAUGACACAGAAAAAAAUCCCAGGGCAUAGGGGUCGGGUGGGGCUCGUUCGGGGUGCACAACGGUUGCGCCAAAAACGGUCCAAAAAUGGCCAAGGCUUUACCAUACGAAAAAUCGGCCGAUUUUUAACAAUGCGAGAAACGUCCCGAAAACUCACAGAUAACUUCUAGGCGGCCUCACUUUGAGUAAUAUUAAAGUUUUUUCCUACAAAAACAGCUCGGAGAUGCCCAUACUCACUUUUUAUUUUCGUCCCAAUACUUUUCUUCCCAUGGUUUGGUUGUGUUCUUUGAUCUUGUGCAACCUAUUUAGACCGAUGAUAGCCCGCGGAUAGGUGUGGAAACCCAUCUAUAUUGCACCCAGUAUGACACAGAAAAAAAUCCCAGGGCAUAGGGGUCGGGUGGGGCUCGUUCGGGGUGCACAACUGUUGCGCCAAAAACGGUCCAUAAAUGGCCAAGGCUUUACCAUACGAAAAAUCGGUCGAUUUUUAACCAUGCGAGAAACGUCCCGAAAACUCACAGAUAACUACUAGGCGGCCUCACUUUAAGUAAUAUUAAAGUUUUUUCCCAUAAAAACAGCUCGUAGAUGCCCAGACUCACUUUUUAUUUUCGUCCCAAUACUUUUCUUCCCAUGGUUUGGUUGUGUUCCUUUGAUCUUGUGCAACCUAUUUAGACCGAUGAUAGCCCGCGGAUAGGUGUGGAAACCCAUCUAUAUUGCACCCAGUAUGACACAGAAAAAAAUCCCAGGGCAUAGGGGUCGGGUGGGGCUCGUUCGGGGUGUUCAACGGUUGAGCCAAAAACGGUCCAAAAAUGGCCAAGGCUUUACCGUACGAAAAAUCGGCCGAUUUUUACCCUUGCGAGAAACGUCCCGAAAGCUCACAGAUAACUACUAGGCGGCCUCACUUUGGGUAAUAUUAAAGUUUUUUCCCACAAAAACAGCUCGGAGAUGCCCAGACUCAGUUUUUAUUUUUGUCCCAAUACUUUUCUUCCCAUGGUUUAGUUGUGUUCUUUGAUCUUGUGCAACCUAUUUAGACGAUGAUAGCCCGCGGAUAGGUGUGGAAAACCAUCUAUAUUGCACCCAGUAUGACACAGAAAAAAAACCAGGGCAUAGGGGUCGGGUGGGGCUCGUUCGGGGUGCACAACGGUUGCGCCAAAAACGGUCCAAAAAUGGCCAAGGCUUUACCAUACGAAAAAUCGGCCAGGUUUUAACCAUGCGAGAAACAUCCCGAAAACACACAGAUAACUACUAGGUGGCCUCACUUUGAGUAAUAUUAAAGUUUUUUCCCACAAAAUUAGCUCGGAGAUGCCCAGAUUGAGUUUUUAUUUUCGUCCCAAUACUUUUCUUCCCACGGUUUAGUUGUGUUCCUUUGAUCUUGUGCAACCUAUGUAGACCGAUGAUAGCCCGCGGAUAGGUGUGGAAACCCAUCUAUAUUGCAGCCAGUAUGACACAGAAAAAAAUCCCAGGGCAUAGGGGUCGGGUGGGGCCCGUUCGGGGUGCACAACGAUUGCGCCAAAAACGGUCCAAAAAUGGACAAGGCUUUAGCAUACGAAAAAUCGGCCGAUUUUUAAGCAUGCGAGAAACGUCCCGAAAACUCACAGAUACCUACUAGGCGGCCUCACUUUGAGUAAUUUUAAAGUUUUUUCCCACAAAAACAGCUCGGAGAUGCCCAUACUCAGUUUUUAUUUUCGUCACAAUACUUUUCUUCCCAUGGUUUGGUUGUGUUCUUUUGAUCUUGUGCAACCUAUUUAGACCGAUGAUAGCCCGCGGAUAGGUGUGGAAACCAAUCUAUAUUGCACCCAGUAUGACACAGAAAAAAAUCCCAGGGCAUAGGGGUCGGGUGGGGCUCGUUCGGGGUGCACAACGGUUGCGCCAAAAACGGUCCAAAAAUGGACAAGGCUACCAUACGAAAAAUCCGCCGAUUUUUAAGCAUGCCAGAAACGUCCCGAAAACUCACUGAUAACUACUAGGCGGCCUCACUUUGAGUAAUAUUAAAGUUUUUUCCCAGAAAAACAGCUCGGAGAUGCCCAGACUCAGUUUUUAUUUUCGUCCCAAUACUUUUCUUCCCAUGGUUUGGUUGUGUUUCUUUGAUCUUGUGCAACCUAUUUAGACCGAUGAUAGCCCGCGGAUAGGUGUGGAAACCCAUCUAUAUUGCAGCCAGUAUGACACAGAAAAAAAUCCCAGGGCAUAGGGGUCGGGUGGGGCCCGUUCGGGGUGCACAACGAUUGCACCAAAAACGGUCCAAAAAUGGACAAGGCUUUACCAUACGAAAAAUCGGCCGAUUUUUAAGCAUGCGAGAAACGUCCCGAAAACUCACAGAUACCUACUAGGCGGCCUCACUUUGAGUAAUUUUAAAGUUUUUUCCCACAAAAACAGCUCGGAGAUGACCAGACUCAGUUUUUAUUUUCGUCACAAUACUUUUCUUCCCAUGGUUUGGUUGUGUUCUUUUGAUCUUGUGCAACCUAUUUAGACCGAUGAUAGCCCGCGGAUAGGUGUGGAAACCAAUCUAUAUUGCACCCAGUAUGACACAGAAAAAAAUCCCAGGGCAUAGGGGUCGGGUGGGGCUCGUUCGGGGUGCACAACGGUUGCGCCAAAAACGGUCCAAAAAUGGACAAGGCUACCAUACGAAAAAUCCGCCGAUUUUUAAGCAUGCCAGAAACGUCCCGAAAACUCACAGAUAACUACUAGGCGGCCUCACUUUGAGUAAUAUUAAAGUUUUUUCCCACAAAAAUAGCUCGGAGAUGACCAGACUCAGUUUUUAUUUUCGUCACAAUACUUUUCUUCCCAUGGUUUGGUUGUGUUCUUUUGAUCUUGUGCAACCUAUUUAGACCGAUGAUAGCCCGCGGAUAGGUGUGGAAACCAAUCUAUAUUGCACCCAGUAUGACACAGAAAAAAAUCCCAGGGCAUAGGGGUCGGGUGGGGCUCGUUCGGGGUGCACAACGGUUGCGCCAAAAACGGUCCAAAAAUGGACAAGGCUACCAUACGAAAAAUCGCCGAUUUUUAAGCAUGUGAGAAACGUCCCGAAAACUCACAGAUAACUACUAGGCGGCCUCACUUUGAGUAAUAUUAAAGUUUUUUCCCACAAAAACAGCUCGGAGAUGCCCAGACUCAGUUUUUAUUUUCGUCCCAAUACUUUUAUUCCCAUGGUUUGGUUGUGUUUCUUUGAUCAUGUGCAACCUAUGUAGACCGAUGAUAGCCCGCGGAUAGGUGUGGAAACCCAUCUAUAUUGCAGCCAGUGUGACACAGAAAAAAAUCCCAGGGCAUAGGGGUCGGGUGGGGCCCGUUCGGGGUGCACAACGAUUGCGCCAAAAACGGUCCAAAAAUGGACAAGGCUUUACCAUACGAAAAAUCGGCCGAUUUUUAAGCAUGCGAGAAACGUCCCGAAAACUCACAGAUACCUACUAGGCGGCCUCACUUUGAGUAAUUUUAAAGUUUUUUCCCACAAAAACCGCUCGGAGAUGACCAGACUCAGUUUUUAUUUUCGUCACAAUACUUUUCUUCCCAUGGUUUGGUUGUGUUCUUUUGAUCUUGUGCAACCUAUUUAGACCGAUGAUAGCCCGCGGAUAGGUGUGGAAACCAAUCUAUAUUGCACCCAGUAUGACACAGAAAAAAAUCCCAGGGCAUAGGGGUCGGGUGGGGCUCGUUCGGGGUGCACAACGGUUGCGCCAAAAACGGUCCAAAAAUGGACAAGGCUACCAUACGAAAAAUCCGCCGAUUUUUAAGCAUGCCAGAAACGUCCCGAAAACUCACAGAUAACUACUAGGCGGCCUCACUUUGAGUAAUAUUAAAGUUUUUUCCCACAAAAAUAGCUCGGAGAUGCCCAGACUCAGUUUUUAUUUUCGUUCCAAUACUUUUCUUCCCAUUGUUUGGUUGUGUUCCUUUGAUCUUGUGCAACCUAUUUAGACCGAUGAUAGCCCGCGGAUAGGUGUGGAAACCCAUCUAUAUUGCACCCAGUAUGACAAUAAAAAAUCCCAGGGCAUAGGGGUCGGGUGGGGCUCGUUCGGGGUGCACAACGGUUGCGCCAAAAACGGUCCAAAAAUGGCCAAGGCUUUACCAUACGAAAAAUCGGCCAAUUUUUAACCGUGCGAGAAACGUCCCGAAAACUCACAGACAACUACUAGGCAGCCUCACUUUGAGUAAUAUUAAAGUUUUUUCCCACAAAAACAGCUCGGAGAUGCCCAGACUCAGUUUUUAUUUUCGUCCCAAUACUUUUCUUCCCAUGGUUUGGUUGUGUUCCUUUGAUCUUGUGCAACCUAUAUAGACCGAU